rnacentral:rRNA from 1 species
AUUGAACGCUGGCGGCAUGCCUUACACAUGCAAGUCGAACGGCAGCACGGACUUCGGUCUGGUGGCGAGUGGCGAACGGGUGAGUAAUGUAUCGGAACGUACCCUUCAGUGGGGGAUAACUAUCCGAAAGGAUAGCUAAUACCGCAUAUUCUCUGAGGAGGAAAGCGGGGGAUCGCAAGACCUCGCGCUGAUGGAGCGGCCGAUAUCAGAUUAGCUAGUUGGUGGGGUAAAGGCCUACCAAGGCGACGAUCUGUAGCGGGUCUGAGAGGAUGAUCCGCCACACUGGGACUGAGACACGGCCCAGACUCCUACGGGAGGCAGCAGUGGGGAAUUUUGGACAAUGGGGGCAACCCUGAUCCAGCCAUGCCGCGUGAGUGAAGAAGGCCUUCGGGUUGUAAAGCUCUUUCGGCCGGGAAGAAAUCGCGUGAGUUAAUACCUUGCGUGGAUGACGGUACCGGAAUAAGAAGCACCGGCUAACUACGUACCAGCAGCCGCAGUAA